UAAGUAAUAGAAAGUGCCUAAGAUCCAGGCGACCGUCAGGAUAGCGAUGGCAUUAGCGCGGAUCCUUCUCAUAUUGAGGACCCCAGUGCUGUCUGGGAACCUGGAGUAAUUAAGAAAGAGCUGGCUUGGUAGAUUGGGAUGAAAAAACUGAGGUCGGAAGGAGACUGAGAUUGGAAAGGAGGAGGAAGAGAGACCUCCAAUUCAACAGGAUUUUAUUGGGGAAGAAUGCCGACUUUGCCAAAGGGAUGUCUGGUUGGGAUCAGGAGCUUUUCAUUCCCUCUUGUGCAAAGCCAUUGCUUUCAUACCUUGCUUCCCUGAAGAAUCAUGAGGCCAACAGAGGUAGCAGAAUACCAGGAAGGUUUCAGAGUUAAAUGAGACUUCCGAAUCUCACUUCAGAGGUGGUGUUAUUUUAGUAACACUCCAUUCUGUUUUUUUCCUCCCCUCUCCCCCCCCCCCCCAAUUUUAUGUUGAAAGAGGAUGGCCUGGUAUUUACUCUUAAAUAUUGACGGAGGGGAUCAGAGGGUCAGACUAGGGAACAGGGAGGUUGGAUAUAGCAUGUUCAUGAUAGGGUCCCACAUCAAAGACUGAAGAUCAGAAAUGUAGGGUAACUCAUCUUACCUUACAGCAACUCCUCUCUUUUACACAUCCUGUUUCUAAUUUCUCAUUCCCCAACUUCACCUUUCCUCUUAAUCUUACCUUUAAAUUUUCUUGAAAAACUUUCCUCCAACCUUCCACCUCAUUUCCCAGAUAGGCUUAUGGCUGAAAUAAUCUGCAUGUUUUUCAGGAUAUGAAAAUUUCAGAAUGUGAGCAAGCUGCAGAGCCCAGCAUUUCUAGACCACUCUCUCUGCCACCCCCUCCAACCUUGAGGCUCUCCCACCUACCUCCUCUCAUAUAAAAUGUCCCCUCUUAUUUCCUAGAAUACUUUUGCCUGAACUAGUGUGAUUACCCCCUUUGAUUUGAAAUGAGAAAGUCUUUACUUGGACCAUUAUGUCAGAACCCAAACUUUUUAGCUCUAUCCCUAAGCCACACCGCCAAUAACAUCCUCUUCUCUUUUUUCUCUCCUACUCUAAGUAUAAUCUUUAAAAACACUCAGCUUCCCUCUUUUCAUUUCUUCCCUUUCCUUCUUCAACCUCCAAGUUCCUACUCUUUCCUUUUACAAGGCUUUCCCAGUACCCUCUCUCCUUACCCUCCCUUCAAAAACCGUUAGACUCAGAAACACCCUUCUGAGGUACCUCCCUAGGGAGUGGUUGCCAUUCUUAGAUUCUAGAGAGGGUAAUCCUGUAGGGCUCCACUCCUAACACUAUAUGUAUAUAUAGUUCACAAGUCCCUAAUGGUAUCCCUCCCCUUAAAUGAUCAAGCAACAGGGGGAAAAAAUCAUUUCACGCUUAGCAAAAGUAUUGAUGAAAAUGUCAUAGUAGGAAUAAUAUCUGCCAAACAUUUCUCCCUCAUAAGCCUGAAGCUCACUUUCCCAUAAAUAUAUGCAAAUCACAUUUGAGUUAUUAGAAAUUUAGAGCACAGUGGCAGUGGGGCCUUCACAACUGUUGGCACUGAAGAGCCUAGAAGUGCCUUCUCUUUUUGUACUUCACACAGUUUCCAGUUGAUGUCACAUCUCCUCUCCACAGUUCAACUCUCCCUUGCCAUGUCUGUCUCUCUCUUGAGAACAUAGUCAGCUUUCUCUUCUGCUCCUACUCCAAGGGUCCUAUUCAUUGAAAAAGAUUCUUCCCUAGAGAGAUACAAUUUUUGUAGCCAUGUCUGUCUGGAGUGUGGUUCAACUGUGUCUUUUAAAAAAGUAAAUGUUAUUAUUUUUCAAACAGAAGAAAUCCAUCUUCUCUCCAUCCCACACCUUACCACCUCCCAAAUGAGGAAGAAAAACAAAACCCCUAUUAAGAACAUGUAUAUGGGGCAGCUGGGUGGCUCAAUGGAUUGAGAGUCAGGCCUAGAGACGGGAGGUCCUGGAUUCAAAUGUGACCUCAGACACUUCCCAGCUGUGUGACUCUGGGCAAGUCAUUUGACCUCCAUUGCCUAGCCCUUACCACUCUUCUGCCUUGGAACCAAUACACAGUAUUGAUUCCAAGAUGGAAGGUAAGGUUUUUAAAAAACAAACAAACAAAAACAUGUAUAGUUAAGCAAAACAAAUUUCCACAUUGUCUAUGUCCAAAAGUAUAUGUCUCAUUCUGCAUUCUUAGUCCUUCAUCUCUCUAUCAGGAGGUGGGUAGCCUGCUCUGACAACACAGUUAUCUUUGUAUAAAUUAUUAUCUUUAGCUCACUUCAUUCUGCAUUAACUCAUACUAGUCUUCCUAGGUUUCUAUGAAACUGUCUCCUUAUAGUUUCUUACAAUACAUCAGCACUCCAUCACUAUAAUAUACUAUAUUUUGUUUAGUCAUUCUGCAAUUGAUGAGCACCUCCUCAAUUUCCAGUUCUUUGAUAACCACAAAAAUAGCUAUAAAUAUUUUUUCACAUCCUUAGAUAAGUUACAAUUUGUUUUGCGUAGCUUCCUUGGACAAAUUGGUGGUGCAGUAGAUAAAGUGCCAGACCUGGAGUCAGGAAGAUUUGAGUUCAAAUCUGUCCUCAAGACACUUAUGACCCUGGACAAGUCACUUAGUCCUUUUGGUUUCAAUUUCCUCAUAUGUAGAAUAAGCUGGACAAUAAAAUGGCACCAAAAUGGGGUCAUGAAGCAUAUGCCACAAUUGAAACAACUGAACAAAAACAAAUUCUCUCCCUUAAUCUACCCUCCAAUCUACCCCUACCUUUAGCUUCCCUAUUUCCCUUCCCCUCCUGGUUCUCUGUGGAAUAAAAUGUAUUUCUGUAUGCAA